GUGGGGAAUAUUGGACAAUGGGCGAAAGCCUGAUCCAGCCUUGCCGCGUGUGUGAAGAAGGUCUUCGGAUUGUAAAGCACUUUAAGUUGGGAGGAAGGGCAUUAACCUAAUACGUUAGUGUUUUGACGUUACCGACAGAAUAAGCACCGGCUAACUUCGUGCCAGCAGCCGCGGUAAUACGAAGGGUGCAAGCGUUAAUCGGAAUUACUGGGCGUAAAGCGCGCGUAGGUGGUUCGUUAAGUUGGAUGUGAAAGCCCCGGGCUCAACCUGGGAACUGCAUCCAAAACUGGCGAGCUAGAGUACGGUAGAGGGUGGUGGAAUUUCCUGUGUAGCGGUGAAAUGCGUAGAUAUAGGAAGGAACACCAGUGGCGAAGGCGACCACCUGGACUGAUACUGACACUGAGGUGCGAAAGCGUGGGGAGCAAACAGGAUUAGAAACCCUUGUAGUCC
rnacentral:rRNA from 1 species